rnacentral:pre_miRNA from 1 species
CUUGUACUCCCUCCGUCUGAAAAAACUUGUCCCAAGCUUGUUGCUCAAAUGAAUGUAUCUAGCACUAACUUGAUGCUAGAUACAUCCAUUUGAGGGACAAGCUUUUUCGGAUGGAGGGAGUAUCUU